CUAAAACCUCCCCUCGCAAAAACUCCACAACCUACCUCAUAACUCAUCUCCACCGAAACUCCACAGAACCCAUCUCCGUCGAAACCUUCGUCUGUGCCUCCUUCGCCACUUUACCGCGCCGACUGUGACCUUGCCUCCUCCACCAAUCCGCGCCGCUAGUGACCUAACUUCCUCUGCCAUUCCUCCAUGCUGCUCGCGACCUAGCUUCCUUCUCACAAAGGUUUCCAAGAGGUUUCGCCGUUCCUCGCCGCGAAGCUGUCCUUCCCACAAAGGGGUCUCGCCAUUCCUCACAAAGACGCUGUUCCUCACUGUGAUGCCAUCCUUCGCACAAAGGGGCCUUGCCACUGGCACGGUUAGCUAAUUCCGCUAUUGUUUGUCUUCCUACUCGCCUCCAUUGGCCAGGUCACCCCUUUUCUUCUCUUGUUUGUGGCUUUUCACUUGCCUUGUUCAGAUUCUUUCGCUUGCCAAAUGAUCUAGAGAUUUUUGAUUGCCUGAGGAGUGAGCUAUAUCCCCCUGCCAAAGAAGAGAUCGCCCAGCGAUGCACCUUUCACACUUGUUCUUCUAUCUGAAUCUGAAGCAUGCCUCAAGGAAGUUCUGGGUAGUCAUUUAGCUAUUUAACGCUUCUCCGAUUGUCUGCAACCAUUGGAUAUCUGGGGCAUAAUUACCACACUUAAAGUGACCUUGCAAUUGCAUUCAUGUCCUACUGAAUAACAUUUGUAGAACACAAGUGGAUCUAUAAUUCAUUCCGAUCGAUUAUACAUUCAGAGAGUUAAACUAUGUUAAGUGGGCAAAGUGUUUGUGGUGAUGAUAAUGCACCGUGGGAUAUGGUCACUGCCAAAGAUUUGUGGGAUGACAAGCAUUUUGAUGGGAAGGAUGAUGUUGACCAAGAUGAUUAUGUACUUGUUAAGUAAGAGGACAUAGUGGAUGGCGUGACAUGCUUCAUGGCUACUUAUUUGCUAUCACUAAAGCAAACUAAAGAACCAAGCUAGAUAUUUUAGAGGAUUCUCAUGAACCUUGUUGUCAAUGCAGAUAGUCAACAAGUUCCAAUCGUGACUCAGGUGAAGGUUUGUACGAAGGACUUGAUUGGCUCUCUAGCAACAUCACUAACAAGAUGAAUGUGGAAAGAAAUUGAAAGUGGGGGUUUUGUUUUACCAAGAAGGCCACUCAUAUAUUUUCAAGAAAAGUUUCAAUCCAAGAAGCAAGAUAUAUUGGAACUAAUAUACAUGUCUAGUAUGUAGGGUUUUGCUUUUAUUAGACUUAACAUGGAUCUAAAGUGUGUGGAUUAUGUCUACAUAUUUUUUGUUUGAAUUGUAGGACACAUUUGUGGUUAUAAUAAGAAAUUUGAUCAGUUGUACUUU